GCAACACCAGUUAUUACUAAGAGAUAAGGUGAAGGUUUAUCAGGAUUCUAGAAUACAACUGUGGAAGUAAGAAACAAAGAGAUGAGAAAGCUAAGGCCAUCUGCUCAGUCUCUUCUUUUGGUGAUUGUGCUAGUAUUUCUAGUGGUUCUUGCUAUGCCAACUGCUUUGCUGGGACUUGGUGCAGGAAGGCGGGUUUUAGGUGAUUCGUCCAAAGCCCAAUCGCCGGGAAUGCAUGGGUUCAAUUGUAAUCUGUGCUAAAAUACCAUGUCCACCACCACCGCCGCCUCCAUCACCAUGAUGGAGUGCCUAUGCAAUUGGAAGUUUCUGACAAAGAACAAAUAGCUAGGUUAAUACUUAAAGUUUACAAGUCUAGUUUGAAGUUUACACCAGCUAGCUAGGUUAAUGCUAGUCAUGCUAAAUGCUGCCUGCUAAUUGACACAAGUAUGUGAGUAAUACUAAUUUCACUCAAGUGAAAUAAACAUGUAAUGCUAUACUGUACUUCAAGCUCAUCUAUGUGUAUGUGUUAAAUAAUUAAGAGAUGAAUUUGGUGA